CAAAAUCCCGGAUAAUGCGAACCAAAUCUCACAGAUAGCUGAUGUCAACCACAGUGGAUACGCUAUUUCAUGGAAUGGCUGGACACUAGGGAGAACCGACAUAUUAAUAUGCCUUCUUGAUAAUCCCUUCUACUUCCUUGAACAAUUGGUCACCAUCCUCCCAACAGCAGACACACUGAAGUGUGUGUAGGAGAUUGUAAGUUUUAGAACCUUUCCUUCUGUCUUUGUUUUAUUCAAAGAAUUUUCUAUCAGUAGCUUGCUUUCUUAUGUUCCAAACUUGACAUGAUAGUAACGGUUUCGUAGCAUGGUCUAAUUAUUAUUAUUGAACUGAUGCGCACUUUAUUUUUCUUCUUUGGAGACAAAACCCGCAGGUUUGAGGUAUGAAGCAUGGACAUGUUCAACACCAUUAUGAUAAGGUAAAUCAUUUGGCUUGAUCUCAGCAUCCGAUACCGAAGCUUUGGGCAAACCAUG
rnacentral:lncRNA from 1 species